GAAACGACUCUCGGCAACGGAUAUCUCGGNUCUCGAAUCGAUGAANAACGUAGCA
rnacentral:rRNA from 1 species